rnacentral:tRNA from 1 species
GCCGGGGUGGCGGAAUUGGUAGCCGCAAGGGACUUAAAAUCCCGCGUAGGUUGGACCUACGUGCCGGUUCGAGUCCGGCCCCCGGCA